CCUCAGUAAAACCAUGACUAUUGCUCCACCCGCGUGUCACACUGAGACUCUGCGGUUCUGAAGAUCGAUAAAAAAAAUUUUUGACGACUUGGUAAGGUGACCUUCCAGGCAAGUGUGGGAACGGGCAUGCACUCCGGCAAACGCGUCGAUCCUUGCUCUCUUCAGACCCCUCUACGACUUCGUUUGUGGCCCCUACGGCUUUUCCCGUCGGCUGUGAGUCGCUUUUCCCUCAGAAAUGUUCGGUGUUUACUUACAGCAUGUCUCGCUGCAGUAUUCCGUGAACGCGGAGCUCCUGCCUUCCGGUGAGACGCCGAUGCUGGUGUCGCAUGGGCUGGCUAAGCGGUUCCGGAACUAGACCUGCGGUUCCCCGUCCUCUGAGGAGUUUGCACUUCAUCAGGCCGGGUCGGAAGCGAUCGAGCAUACACAGCAAGAGGCUGUGCCGCUGCACGAGGGUCAAGUAUGUGAUAAGCACCUUAUGGGUGUACUACCCUUCAAUCUGCCUAUUCAAACACAAUUAAAUCGCGAGUGUUUCAGAUGCAAGUAUCUUGGGGCUGUGGCGUGGUGCUCUGUUGGCAAACACAGUCCUGCAGUUCUGCACGCGGUCUCUACACAUUUGCACCUUGAUUGUUGUUCCUGUCUAAAGUGAUGCAGUGUGGUAAACCUCAGAAGUCAAGCGCGUCUAUCGCUGGUAUGCAGUGCUUGUACACCGUCUCGCCUGACUGAAAGUACGUUUGCUGAUAUUUUGGGUAGAUGGUGAAACAAGGAGAGCAUAUGUCAUGCGUCAAGGCUAGGCACUCAUAAAAUCCUAGGCAGGUCCUGCUUGCCGCUCCGAGUCACUUCAACUUCGCUGGGAUAUCUUUUCUCAUUUUUACCCGAGAGUCCGUAGGGCGGCUCCGCGAACACGGACGACUGCUAUCCUUGUUUCACAUGGUUUGGCUCUUCGAAACUUGGAUGCUGCUUAAUUCUGCAAUGGGA
rnacentral:lncRNA from 1 species